UUGAAUAAACCUGAUGUGGCUGUUAGCUGGCUUUUCGAAGCAUGUGCUCGCUCAUCAUCUUUAUCUUUCCACCUGUGCACCUUUUGUAGUCUUGAAUACCUCUCGAGGCAACUCGGAUAUUAGGAUCGCUGUGCUGCACAAGUCAGCUUUCCUGUCACUUUCAAGACUAUGUUUUUAUAUACACCCAUUGUAUGUUUAAAGAGUGUCAUCAAUAGGAACUUGUUUCCUAUAAAUCUAUA
rnacentral:misc_RNA from 1 species